rnacentral:rRNA from 1 species
CGAACGGGUGAGUAAUGCGUGACCAACCUGCCCCAUGCUCCAGAAUAGCUCUUGGAAACGGGUGGUAAUGCUGGAUGCUCCAACUUGACGCAUGUCUUGUUGGGAAAGUGUUUAGUGGCAUGGGAUGGGGUCGCGUCCUAUCAGCUUGUAGGCGGGGUAAUGGCCCACCUAGGCUUCGACGGGUAGCCGGCCCGAGAGGGCGGACGGCCACAUUGGGACUGAGAUACGGCCCAGACUCCUACGGGAGGCAGCAGAU